GAAUACUUCUGACAUUCCAUCUAACUGAAGCCUGUGUGACCCUGAGUGUAUUCAUCACAAAGGGCUUUCCAGACAAUUAGCUAAUAGCUCCUGUGGGGCAGACCCAGAACCCAAAGUGUGUGAUUAUCAUUAAGCUCUUCAGACCCGAACAUGCUGUGUAGAGACCCCCACUCCAUGUUUGUCACAAGAAAAUCUGACAUCUUUAACAGCUCAAGUGAACAGAAAUGCCAAAUUGACAUGCCAGCUGUGAAAACCUUCAGGGUUGAAUUAUUAUUAUUACUGCAGCCGCUCUUUUUGUAACGUGGCUUUGAAUCAUCCUCCAGCUUUAGCAGAGGGUCCCGUGCCAGCAGUUAAUUACAAAGUUCAGCCCCAAGACUACUCCCAUUACUGAGAUCACCAGCAGGUGAACGCAGUCUUGAAAAUCACUUUCAAAUUUGCCAACUGGCCUGACGUGAGCAUCCUUCUCUAGAGGAAGGUGAAAUUGGCAGGUGGGCUUGAAGAUGAACGUCUGCUAUUUAUAUCAUCAUGCUACCUGUUUCAGUGCUUAACAACUGAUAAAGAGGUUUUCUUCCUAGUCUCACAAAGAAAAACAACAAGAUACUCUUAGAUAUAGGCUUGUCAACCUUCCAAGAGCAGGUCAGAAUGUGUGCAGCAGCACAUGGGAAUGGAGGCACAUCACAGCUCACACCUGCUCAGCACCAGAUGAAAGACAUUGGCCCCAUGCUAUCUGGACAACGAGGGGCUCACAACUCAGCAUCCUUUGGCCAUCUUCGGUACAACAGUUGACGUCAGUAAAGAGGCCCUGAAGGAACAGAAAGCUGGAAAAGGUUCAACCCUUUAUUGUCGAGCACUGCACAUUCCAGGAGAGGAGGUGCCAAGGACCAGGUGACACAGGUAGAAGCCGUACCUUGUCCAGCGUCCCUCUACCACCUGGAUCUGCUAUCCAGGACGGAGCUUGCUAGUCAAAGAACCCAUGGAAAGAGAAGAUGUGGAAUAAAGACAGGAUGUUUGCACCACAGUCGAUUCCUCUGCUUCACUUCAGCUUCUCCAAGUGAGCCUAGAAAAGAAAGAGAAAAAAUAGAGAAGUCUAAAAAGUGUUGU
rnacentral:lncRNA from 1 species